GCGGGGAUAGCUCAGUUGGGAGAGCGUCAGACUGAAGUUCAAACUCCAGUUGCAAAUCUGAAGGUCGUGUGUUCAAUCCACACUCACCGCA